rnacentral:tRNA from 1 species
GCCGAGGUGGUGGAAAUGGUAGACGCGCUGCGUUCAGGGCGCAGUGGGCGAAAGCCCGUGGGGGUUCGAAUCCCCCCCUCGGCACCG